ACUACGGGAGGCAGCAGUAGGGAAUAUUGCUCAAUGGGGGAAACCCUGAAGCAGCAACGCCGCGUGGAGGAUGAAUGUUUUCGGAUUGUAAACUCCUUUUUUUAGAGAAGAUAAUGACGGUAUCUAACGAAUAAGCACCGGCGAACUCCGUGCCAGCAGCCGCUGUAAUAAGGAGGCUGCAUGGGUUACUCGGAAUCACUGGGCGUAAAGAGCACUUAGUCGGGUUAGCAAGUCAGAUGUGAGAUCCUAUGGCUGAACCAUAGAACUGCAUUUGAAACUGUUAUUCUAGAGUAUGGUUGAGGUAGGUUGAAUUCUUGGUGUAGGGGUCAAAUCCGUAGAGAUCAAGAGGAAUCCCCAUUGCGAAGGCGGCCUGCUAGACCAUAACUGACGCUGAUGCGCGAAAGCGUGGGGAGCAAACAGGAUUAGAUACCCGGGUAGUC
rnacentral:rRNA from 1 species